rnacentral:rRNA from 1 species
UACAGAGGGGGCAAGCGUUGUUCGGAAUUACUGGGCGUAAAGGGCGCGUAGGCGGCCUGCUAAGUCGAACGUGAAAUCCCUGGGCUUAACCCAGGAACUGCGUCCGAUACUGGCAGGCUUGAAUCCGGGAGAGGGAUGCGGAAUUCCAGGUGUAGCGGUGAAAUGCGUAGAUAUCUGGAGGAACACCGGUGGCGAAGGCGGCAUCCUGGACCGGCAUUGACGCUGAGGCACGAAAGCCAGGGGAGCAAACGGG